rnacentral:rRNA from 1 species
GAUCCGGUGGUUCUGCGUGGAAGGGCCAUCGCUCAACGGAUAAAAGCUACCCUGGGGAUAACAGGCUUAUCUCCCCCAAGAGUCCACAUCGACGGGGAGGUUUGGCACCUCGAUGUCGGCUCAUCACGUCCUGGGGCUGUAGUAGGUCCCAAGGGUUGGGCUGUUCGCCCAUUAAAGUGGUACGCGAGCUGGGUUCAGAACGUCGUGAGACAGUUCGGUCCCUAUCCGUCGCAGGCGUAGGAAAUUUGAGAAGACCUG